UGUUGAAACACUGGUUCUUGUAUGAUCAACGGAGUUAAGUGACGUUGAACCUGGUCAGUACCUAGAUAGGUGACCACUUGGGAAUACCAGGUAUUGUAUG